rnacentral:rRNA from 1 species
UACGUAGGUGGCAAGCGUUGUCCGGAAUUAUUGGGCGUAAAGCGCGCGCAGGCGGUCCUUUAAGUCUGAUGUGAAAGCCCACGGCUCAACCGUGGAGGGUCAUUGGAAACUGGGGGACUUGAGUACAGAAGAGGAAAGCGGAAUUCCACGUGUAGCGGUGAAAUGCGUAGAUAUAUGGAGGAACACCAGUGGCGAAGGCGACUUUCUGGUCUGUAACUGACACUGAGGCUCGAAAGCGUGGGGAGCAAACAGG